UGGUGGCACCAACCGGGACUAAAGGGGGGGCAUUGGUACCGGUUAGUGACACCAACCGGUACCAAUGCACCCCUUUAGUCCCGGUUGGUGCCACCAA
rfam:Triticum aestivum genome assembly, contig: Triticum_aestivum_CS42_TGACv1_scaffold_249188_3DL